rnacentral:miRNA from 1 species
AUUUGUACACCUAGAUCUGUA